rnacentral:lncRNA from 1 species
UUAGUUUUAAUGGCAAUAACUAAACUUAAAUUAUCUUUUCCAGAAAACAGGAUUUCGUCACGCUUGCAAUGGAAAUGUAGAAACAUGAUUUCCGCGAAUCAUCCAGUAGCACGGCCAAAUGAAAACGAAAACAAUGACGCUGUUCCGUCGCCUAUACAAAGUUUGCACUGUAAAAAAAUGUUAUGAAUUCGGAAGAUUUUUGUGCCCGAAAAAAAUGAGCCGAGACACUGUUCCGCGCAACUUUUGUCACUAGCUGUAGUUGUGGAGAACCUACAACGCCAUCUAGUUAACAAUCCACCUUCAAACAAUUGAGGAACCACACGUUACGUGCUUUGUUGUUUGGUUGCAUUGGUAAAAAUAUAGACAACUGUGUGCAGUGUGCUAUCGAUAAUAAUAAUUAUUCAGGAACAAA